UACGGAGGGUGCAACCGUUGCUCGGAAUCAUUGGGCGUAAAGCGCACGUAGGCGGUCCAGCAAGUCGGGUGUGAAAGCCCUCGGCUUAACCGAGGAAGUGCAUUCGAAACUACUGGACUUGAGUACUGAAGAGGAUCGCGGAAUUCCCGGUGUAGAGGUGAAAUUCGUAGAUAUCGGGAGGAACACCUGUGGCGAAAGCGGCGCACUGGACCACAACUGACGCUGAGGCGCGAAAGCUAGGGGAGCAAACAGG
rnacentral:rRNA from 1 species